CUCCCAUUUAUUUAUAAUGGCCAAAAUUUCACAUCUAUAAAAACAUCAGUUUUGUUUAGAUUUACCUCAGACUUGGCACAUAUAGAGAGGAAAUUGAUAUACUGACGUCAGCCCAUGUAUAGACAUGGUGACAUCAAGUGGAUCGAUGCCAACAUAAGCGACAAUAUGUGUGAGGGGCAGGGUUUGUUGUGCCUGGCACCACUUGUGUACUAUAAGUGA